UACAGAGGGUGCAAGCGUUAAUCGGAAUUACUGGGCGUAAAGCGUGCGUAGACGGUUAUGUAAGUCGGGUGUGAAAGCCCCGGGCUCAACCUGGGAAUUGCAUUCGAGACUGCAUAGCUAGGGUGCGGAAGAGGGAAGCGGAAUUUCCGGUGUAGCGGUGAAAUGCGUAGAUAUCGGAAGGAACACCAGUGGCGAAAGCAGCUUCCUGGUCCAGCACCGACGUUCAGGCACGAAAGCGUGGGGAGCAAACAGG
rnacentral:rRNA from 1 species